GUGUCAGCAGCCGCGGUAAGACGAACCGAGCGAACGUUGUUCGGAAUCACUGGGCUUAAAGGGCGCGUAGGCGGGUAUUCAAGUCCGUGGUGAAAUCCUCCGGCUCAACCGGAGAACUGCCUCGGAUACUGGAUGUCUCGAGGGUGGCAGGGGUAUGCGGAACUAUCGGUGGAGCGGUGAAAUGCGUUGAUAUCGAUAGGAACUCCGGUGGCGAAGGCGGCAUACUGGUCCACUUCUGACGCUGAGGCGCGAAAGCCAGGGGAGCAAACGGGAUUAGAUACCCCGGUAGUCC
rnacentral:rRNA from 1 species